GGGGAAGCCCCACAGGGAGAGGGAGAAGCCCACUCCUCGCUGAGCAGGGAGCCAGAUAUGGAGCUCCAUCCCAGAACCUUGGGAUCAUGACCAGAUGGGAAGGCAGAGGCUAACAGAUGAAGCUACCCAGUGUGUGGAUGAUCCUGAUCUGUGCUUUUAGCCUGAACGCCUCAAACUGUGCUACAGACCCGUCCACUCACUCUUCCAGAAUCCUCGAACCUAUCUUACUGGAGAGAAGGGCCCUUUCUGUCAUCUGGAAAAAUAGGUCAAAUGCUGCAGAGACACUGG
rnacentral:lncRNA from 1 species